UACAGAGGGUGCGAGCGUUGUUCGGAAUUAUUGGGCGUAAAGCGCUGGUAGGUGGCUUGUUAAGUCGCGUGUGAAAGCUCCAGGCUCAACCUGGAAAGUGCGCGCGAAACUGGCGAGCUUGAGUGCGGGAGAGGGUCGCGGAAUUCCCGGUGUAGAGGUGAAAUUCGUAGAUAUCGAGAGGAACACCGGUGGCGAAGGCGGCGAUCUGGACGAUGACUGACGCUGAGACGCGAAAGCGUGGGGAGCAAACAGG
rnacentral:rRNA from 1 species